ensembl:miRNA microRNA 19b-1
GCACUGUUCUAUGGUUAGUUUUGCAGGUUUGCAUCCAGCUGUAUGAUAUUCUGCUGUGCAAAUCCAUGCAAAACUGACUGUGGUGGUGG